GACGAACGCUGGCGGCGUGCUUAACACAUGCAAGUCGAACGGAAAGGCCCUGCUUUUGUGGGGUGCUCGAGUGGCGAACGGGUGAGUAACACGUGAGUAACCUGCCCUUGACUUUGGGAUAACUUCAGGAAACUGGGGCUAAUACCGGAUAGGAGCUCCUGCUGCAUGGUGGGGGUUGGAAAGUUUCGGCGGUUGGGGAUGGACUCGCGGCUUAUCAGCUUGUUGGUGGGGUAGUGGCUUACCAAGGCUUUGACGGGUAGCCGGCCUGAGAGGGUGACCGGCCACAUUGGGACUGAGAUACGGCCCAGACUCCUACGGGAGGCAGCAGUGUGGAAUAUUGCACAAUGGGCGGAAGCCUGAUGCAGCAACGCCGCGUGCGGGAUGACGGCCUUCGGGUUGUAAACCGCUUUCGCCUGUGACGAAGCGUGAAUGACGGUAAUGGGUAAAGAAGCACCGGCUAACUACGUG
rnacentral:rRNA from 1 species